UAAAAAGAGAAAACUUCGAGAUCUAAUCCAGAGUACCACGAGACACGUGAAACCUUGUGGGAAGCAGGGAGGACCACCUCCCAAGGCUAAAUACUACCUAGUGACCGAUAGUGAAGCAGUACCGUGAGGGAAAGGUGAAAAGAACCCCGGAAGGGGAGUGAAAUAGAACCUGAAACCGUGUGCCUACAACCGAUCGGAGCACGUUAAAGUGUGACGAUGUGCUUUUUGUAGAACGAGCCAGCGAGUUACGCUAUGUAGCAAGGUUAAGUACUUAAGGUAUGGAGCCGAAGGGAAACCGAGUCUGAAAAGGGCGAAAAGUUGCAUGGUGUAGACCCGAAACCGGGUGACCUAUCCAUGGCCAGGUUGAAGCGAGAGUAAAAUCUCGUGGAGGACCGAACCACGUUGGUGUUGAAAAACCAUGGGAUGAGCUGUGGAUAGCGGAGAAAUUCCAAUCGAACUCGGAGAUAGCUGGUUCUCCUCGAAAUAGCUUUAGGGCUAGCGUCGUGUAAUUGAGUAAUGGAGGUAGAGCACUGAAUGGGCUAGGGGCUAUAGUAGUUACCGAACCCUAUCAAACUCCGAAUGCCAUAUACUUGUAUCACGGCAGUCAGACUGCGAAUGAUAAGAUCCGUAGUCAAAAGGGAAACAGCCCAGACCAUCAGCUAAGGUCCCAAAGUGUAAGUUAAGUGGAAAAGGAUGUGGGAUUUCUAAGACAACUAGGAUGUUGGCUUAGAAGCAGCCACUCAUUUAAAGAGUGCGUAAUAGCUCACUAGUCAAGAGAUCCUGCGCCGAAGAUGUCCGGGGCUCAAACUUACCACCGAAGCUAUGGGUGUACACUAUGUGUACGCGGUAGAGGAGCUUUCUGUAUGGGUUGAAGUCGUACCGUAAGGAGCGGUGGACUGUACAGAAGUGAGAAUGCUGGCAUAAGUAGCGAGAAAUAAGUGAGAAUCUUAUUGGCCGAAAACCUAAGGUUUCCUGAGGAAGGUUCGUCCGCUCAGGGUUAGUCGGGACCUAAGCCGAGGCCGAAAGGCGUAGGUGAUGGACAAUCGGUUGAUAUUCCGAUACC
rnacentral:rRNA from 1 species